UACAGAGGGGGCAAGCGUUGUUCGGAAUUACUGGGCGUAAAGGGCGCGUAGGCGGCCUUCUAAGUCGAACGUGAAAUCCCCGGGCUCAACCCGGGAACUGCGUCCGAUACUGGAAGGCUUGAAUCCGGGAGAGGGAUGCGGAAUUCCAGGUGUAGCGGUGGAAUGCGUAGAUAUCUGGAGGAAUACCGGUGGCGAAGGCGGCAUCCUGGACCGACAUUGACGCUGAUGAGCGAAAGCUAGGGGAGCAAACGGG
rnacentral:rRNA from 1 species